GACGAACGCUGGCGGCGUGCUUAACACAUGCAAGUCGACAUGAGUGGCGAACGGGUGAGUAAUACGUGGGUAACCUGCCCUCCUUUUUGGGCUAAGCCUUGGAAACGGGGUUAAAUCCCGAAUUAAGGGGGAUGGGCUCGUGGCCUGUCGGCUUGUUGGUGGGGUUCUGGCGUACCAAGGCGGUGACGGGUAGCCGGCCGGAGAGGGUGACCGGGGACAUAGAGACGGAGAUACGGCCCAGGGUACUAAGGGGGGGGGAAGUGGGGGAUAUUGCACAAUGGGCGAAAGACUGAUGCAGCGACGCCGAGUGGGGGAUUAGGGCUUUAGGGUUGUAAACGUGUUGCGCUAGCGAACGGGUAGGUGGAGAAGAAGCGCCGGCUAACUACGUGCCAGCAGCCGCGGUAAUUC
rnacentral:rRNA from 1 species